GAUCAGUGGCUCAGGACAACGCUGGCGGCGUGCCUAACACAUGCAAGUCGAACGAGGUCCAAGGAAGCUUGCUUCCUGAAGACCUAGUGGCGAACGGGUGAGUAACACGUGAGAAACCUGCCUCGGAGUGGGGACUAACUCGGGGAAACUCGAGCUAAUACCGCAUACCUUCACAUGAUCGCAUGGUCGAGUGAAGAAAGAAUUUCGCUCUGAGAGGGUCUCGCGGCCUAUCAGCUUGUUGGUGGGUAACGGCCUACCAAGGCAACGACGGGUAGCUGGUUUGAGAGAACGAUCAGCCACACUGGGACUGAGACACGGCCCAGACUCCUACGGGAGGCAGCAGUGGGGAAUCUUGCGCAAUGGGCGAAAGCCUGACGCAGCAACGCCGCGUGCGGGAUGACGGCCUUCGUGGUUGUAAACCGCUUUCAGCAGGGACGAAAAUGACGGUACCUGCAGAAGAAGCCCCGGCUAACUACGUG
rnacentral:rRNA from 1 species